rnacentral:lncRNA from 1 species
GAGUAACCACCAUGACUAGAAUAACCAAAACAUUAAUUAUUUGAAGACUGACCACUGCUCUUACCAAGGUGAUUACUAACACUAGAAUAACCUCUGUCAGUAAUAAAAAAAGAUCCCAUAAUAGGGAAAGUAGGCUGACUGUGAGGCUUAUAGGAUGGAUGUAAGGAUAGCUACUUUUAGAACUGCUAUCUCUUGGUCAUUAACUAUAGUGGCUCCCACUGAAUCUUCCAUAAAACUUAGGCCUCUUAUCAAGACCCUUACAG